rnacentral:rRNA from 1 species
UACGGAGGGUGCGAACGUUAAUCGGAAUCACUGGGCGUAAAGCGCGCGUAGGCGGUUUGUUAAGUGGGAUGUGAAAUCCCCGGGCUUAACCUGGGAAUUGCAUUUCAAACUGGCCGACUAGAGUACGGUAGAGGGAGGUAGAAUUUCCUGUGUAGCGGUGAAAUGCGUAGAUAUCGUAAGGAAGACCAGUGGCGAAGGCGGGUCUCUGGACAGUUCCUGACGCUGAGGCACGAAGGUCAGGGGGAGCAAACGGG